rnacentral:tRNA from 1 species
GCGGGUGUAGCUCAGCUGGCUAGAGCGUCGGCUUGCCAUGCCGAAGGCCGAGGGUUCGAAUCCCUUCACCCGCUCCA